UACGAAGGGGCUAGCGUUGCUCGGAAUCACUGGGCGUAAAGGGUGCGUAGGCGGGUCUUUAAGUCAGGGUGAAAUCCUGGAGCUCAACUCCAGAACUGCCCUUGAUACUGAGGAUCUUGAGUUCGGGAGAGGUGAGUGGAACUGCGAGUGUAGAGGUGAAAUUCGUAGAUAUUGGGAAGAACACCGGUGGCGAAGGCGGCUCUCUGGACCGAGACGUGACGCUGAGGCGGCGAAAGCGUGGGGAGCA
rnacentral:rRNA from 1 species